rnacentral:rRNA from 1 species
GACGAACGCUGGCGGCGUGCUUAACACAUGCAAGUCGAACGGAAAGGCCCUGCUGUUGUGGGGUGCUCGAGUGGCGAACGGGUGAGUAACACGUGAGUAACCUGCCCUUGACUUUGGGAUAACUUCAGGAAACUGGGGCUAAUACCGGAUAGGAGCACCUGCUGCAGGGUGGGGGUUGGAAAGUUUCGGCGGUUGGGGAUGGACUCGCGGCUUAUCAGCUUGUUGGUGGGGUAGUGGCUUACCAAGGCUUUGACGGGUAGCCGGCCUGAGAGGGUGACCGGCCACAUUGGGACUGAGAUACGGCCCAGACUCCUACGGGAGGCAGCAGUGGGGAAUAUUGCACAAUGGGCGGAAGCCUGAUGCAGCAACGCCGCGUGCGGGAUGACGGCCUUCGGGUUGUAAACCGCUUUCGCCUGUGACGAAGCGUGAGUGACGGUAAUGGGUAAAGAAGCACCGGCUAACUACGUG